CAUUGAGCAAGACUCAGUUUUUGUAAGGUGUAUAUGCUCAUCUCUAAAAUAGGGGCAGACAGGCCUACUCAAAUCCAGUGAGUCCAGCAAUGGGGGGAAUGCCUUGCAAAUCCUAGAGAACUGCAAGGAUGUGUGAGGAUUCUUCUCCAUGCCAUCACAUACUUCUCAGGGCCAGCCUGGUGACCUGGCCCAAGAGAAGCAGGUAUAAGAUCAUUCCGGCCAUGCAUGUUUUCAUUUCCAUGAGAUGAAGAACUGUGUGUCAGUUUUGACUCUUACAUACUGAUGCCAGAUGCACUCUUGCGUGUGUGGAUCUCUCCCCAGUCCAGGGCAGUAACCUCACAAUGGUACCUACAGAUGCACAGGAGUUGCCUUUGCAAAUGUCCUCAGAGGCGUGCAGAGGAGGAACACUUACGCCAGACUCCGGGGAGAAGCUGCCUGCGGGAGCUCUCACCUUCAUUUGUGAGGUCUUCUCAGAACCCUCAGGCACAGUUAAAUUGAUCACACACUGACCACAUGGAGUACACUCCCAGCACUGAGACACGACAGUGAAAAACACAGAGGCGGUUCCUCUCUGUCUCGAGCCUGAAGCUAGGCACCUGGAUGUGAUGGUUUAAGAAAUAACUCAGUUGCACUGGUAGCACACUCAGAAGUAUUAUUUAGGCCAGCUCGUUCUUUGGAACUAUGCACAGGGGCUAAUCUCACCCCUUUGUGUGUUAGUGUCUACUGCAGGGGGUGACAGGCCCAAACUUGCCCCCAGAUAGAAAGAUGUGCUCUAGACAGGCCAUAGGGACCAUGCUGCAGGAAGCAGGAAUGAGCCCAUUCCAUUCAAUACACUGUCACUGGACACCUACUAUGUGCGUGACUGUGUGGCAGAUGUUCUACUGGACAUAAAAACGAAUUCAGUGUCCCAUGCUCUUUAGUUGGAAUAUUGCAGGGUUGAGCAGGUGCAAUGUUGUAAUAGAGGUAGCAGGCCUGAGCGUGUGCAAUGUUGUAAUAGAGGUAGCAGGGCUGAGCGUGUGCAAUGUUGUAAUAGAGGUACAAGCAACACAGGGAUAGGGAGAAGGUGAUCCACAUUGCAGGGGCCUAAUUACAGGGGGCCCUGAAUGCCAAGCCAAGACUU
rnacentral:lncRNA from 1 species